rnacentral:rRNA from 1 species
CCCUUAGAUGUUCUGGGCCGCACGCGUGCUACACUGAGUGGAUCAGCGGGUCAGGUUGCGCGAAAGUGUUUCCUAAUCUUGAAAUCCGCUCGUGAUGGGGAUUGACGGUUGCAAUUUUCCGUCAUGAACGAGGAAUACCUUGUAAGCGCGGGUCAUCAUCCCGCGCUGAAUACGUCCCCGCCCUUUGUACACACCGCCCGUCGCUCCUACCGAUUGAGUGGUCCGGUGAGGCUUUGGGAUCUGAGCGGAAAGAGCGUUUCGCUGUUUCUGCUCGGAAAACUCAGUCGAACCUUAUCAUUUAGAGGAAGGAGAAGUCGUAACA